AAAAAAAAGGCCAAAAAAAAAAAAAAAAAAAAAAAGAGCUGUGUGUGUGAGCACGUGUGUGUGUUUAUAUAGCAUGGGAGACAGAGACAAAACUGAACAAGUGUGGGAGGGUGAGAACCUUUAUUGUGCAACAAACUGAUGGCACCAAAUAUGCUGCAUUUGUUAUAAAUAAAACUCAGUGAUGUUGGGGUGGAGAGUGGGAGCGAGAGAGAUGAAAAAGAAUGAUAUCACCCAGUGGCUAUCAGGGUUGAAACAACUGGAUCAUCCUGAAGAAAUGGCUGCUUGGCCAGUCUGACAUUUCCCAUACUACUGAAUAAGUAACCUCUGCUCAAGGCCCAGACCCAACAGGAAUGGCCUGGAAUUAGCGAAUGUAAAGACUCAGCUUUGAGUCAUGUUCUAGGAGUGGCCACUGUCUUGUGCUGUCGUGGCUUUGUUUCAUAAUCUCCUCACGGAUGCAUGCCAGCUGCUGGAUACUCAGGAGAAGACAGUCACUUGGGCACUUUCCCGUAAGCCAUGUCCCCAAGUAAGUUCUCACAGCGAGAAAAGAAAUUCAGGACAACAAAAGAUAUCGUUGAAAAGGUUCUUUUAGACUAAAAAUUUGGUGGAGAUUAAAAUAGGGCAAAAGUUCAAAGGAGAACGAGCGACUGCCAAGCAAGCAAGAAUCUUGGCAAAAAGGAAGGAAAAGAAACAUUGGUUUAAAAGGCAAGUAACCAUGGCAAGGCAACAGCUCAAUGCUAGAAUCUGGUUAAGAAGUAAUAUCACACAGAGCUGUGAUUGUUUAUUCAAGGCUAGCCCAUGAGAGAACAGUUGUCUCCAAUGAGUGUUCUCACAGCUUGGAUCCAAAAUUAUAACUGCAUUUUUUAAGGCAUCCAGCACUUCUUCACAACCCAUUUGCUGUUAGACAAAAGAAAUAGAAAAUACGUUUAUUCUUAGUGUCCCUUGUGUGUUUAAGGCACAGCUUUACAUAUGGAAAGGCAUUUUGUGUCAGCUGUUGGACCGGUAUCAUCAUGCUAUUCUGCAGCAGUUGCCAAUGGAAACUGUUGAUACAUUUUCGGUACCUUUUCCAAGUAUCAGAAACUGGGAGCAGUGUAUGGUUUAGGGACAUCUUGUUUGCAAAGGGUUUUGAAGGGUGAGAGGUUUUGCAUUUCUGAGUUGCAUUACUGCAGUUGCAACACAAAGCACAUAAUAGACUGUAAGAGCUAACAGUUGUGGAAUUAAGUUUAGGCAUGAAACAAAAAUAAUGGCAGCUUUGGUACAAGUAAUCAUUUACUAAAGAUGUAUUUUGGCUAUUGGCAAACUCACAGCAUAUGUGCACAUCCAUACACCUGCUUAAGUUGUGCACCUGUUGUCCUACAAAUAAAUCAAAAGGGAAAAAUUGAAGCUUCCAAUAUUCCACUAUAAAUAAAAGAUGAUUAAUGUCAUUAUAGGGACAAACAGGUAUUGGCAGCACACAGAAAGAAUGGAAGAUUGUCAUCUCAUUUGUGCUUUUGUUUCCACAUCUAGAUGAGCUUGGAAUACAUAUACAGUGCUAGAGGGCACAGCUGCAGCCUAACAGAUGAUAGAGAGCAGGUCAAAAUCAUCUCUCAUCGUAAGUCAAAAGGAGCUCAACCACUGCAGGGCUUUUCAUGGAAAUGAGCAGAACUUUUUCCAAAAACUGGAUGAAUUCAUCCCUUAUGCCAUUUUAUUGCUCAGAUAAUCUUCAGCUAAACUAAGACACCAUGGUCUGUAUGAAGUUUGCAUGGAGAGCAGAUAGGUAGGUCUUAGCACUCUGGGGAACUAUACUGACUUCUCAGUUAUUCUUUGGAGAUCUACAGUUCUCUCUUUUUUUUUUUUUUUUUUUUUUUUUUGGAAUGAGCGUGCAUGUACUUAAAAAAAAUCUUUCAGGCUAAGAUCAAAUUCACCACAUUUCAUAGAGUCAUAGAACCAUUAAGGUUGGAAAGAUCACUAAGGUCAUCUAGUACAACCAUCAGCCCAUGCCUGUGACCCUUCUAGAUCACGUCACUCAGUGUGACAUCUACCCUUUUCUUGAAAUCCUCCCGGGAUGGUGACUCUACCACCUCCCUGGGAAGUCUGUUCCAAUAUCUCACCAUGCUUCUGAGAAGAAAUCUUUCCAAACAUCCAACCUGAACCACCCUGGCACAACUUGAGGCCAUUACCUCUUGUCCUAUCAUUAGUUACUUGGGAAAAGAGCCCAGUGUCCACUUCACUACAACCUCCUUUCAGGUAGUUUUAGUGAGAUGAGUUCUCCCCUGAGCCUCCUCUUCUGCACUUUGUAGAACCAUGUACAUGUGCAAUGGGCAGCUUUGAAAGCUGCUGGAGUCUUCGGUGUUUUCAAGUCAGUAGGGCACAUGACAAUCACUGUGUAAACAACUUCAGUGUUCCCUAUUUACUCACAACCUAAUUAGAAUCUAGAUAAUAGAAGGAUGAUAUCUUUGACCUUUCCUAUAUCAGAACUGGCUAUACUGGCUGCCAAGGUGAUUAAAGGUAAAGCUAUAACAUUUCCUUUUUGCCUCUCCUUCCAACAAAUGCAUGUCUUUGCCCCCAUUACAGCAGCUAGCUAUCUGCCAAAUUGCCUUACUGGGGAUCAGGCUCUCCAGAAUGCUGAGAACGGCAGUCAAGAAAAUCAGCUUUAUAUCAGUGUCAUUCCUUAUUUUAUGGGGCAAGUCUGGUGUUCUGAGGUACAAUUUCUUUCAGUGUGUUCCAUAAAUACUAGGGAAUCUGAAGAGUGUUUUCUCCCACUUUUGAGUAGAUGUGACAUACAUUAGGGAGAGACAGCUCCGCUGCUGAGAGAUAGAUGGUUCUGUGCCUAAUAUGACUUCAUUUUGUCUAUACCUUUACAUUUCCAAAGAGUAUAUCUCCAAGUCCCCAGAUGCCACUCUAUCAUGCCAAACUGCUACAGCGCUUUACAGAGAUGUGCACAGUCUUCUCUUCCAUUUGUUUCCCAUCUAAGAUGAAAUCACUCUGAACAGGAAUCCUCCUUCAGACUUUUCAUGUUGAGAAAUCGUAACCUUGCCUUUUAAUGCUCUGGAUCCCACACACAUUGUGGCAAUCUCUUACUGUCAAACCCUGUCUUUGCAUCCCUGGCCCAUCAGUGGAGCCGCAUGGAAGAAGAGUAUUUGGCACAUUGCUUUUAGUGAUAGUUUGCUCUUCAGAAGCACAGAGGAUUCACAUUAAUUUUUAUUAUUAGAUAUUCAGUGAGGAGUGCAGAGAACAAAUGGGCCACAUCUCACAGAACCCUAGAAUGGUUUAGGUUGGAAGGAAGCUUAAAGACAACUUUCUUGACAACUUUUCCCAUCACCACCAGCAUUAGAAAAUCACAGUACUUGAUGCUUAUGUGAGCAAAUAUUGCUUUCAUUUGAAUUAUUUUAUUUAAAAUUCUAACUCAUCCCAUUCGCUCUUUCUUCUGGGCAUGAGCAGAUGGAGAACUGGGAAUUAAAAGAGAGAAUUUCCUGGCAUUAUGUUCCAUUGACAGUAAUACUUCAGCAAGGAAGGACUGUGUUGUACUGCUGGCUAAAACAUGUCAAGUCACUUGAUAGCAAGAUCAUAUAAUUUGGUCCUCAAGCAUAAGAAGAUGAAGUGUCCUCACUGGAAGGGUCUGAAAAUUGGACUCCUCAGAUACUUCAGUUCCUCAACUUCAACAAAUCUUCUCCAGACAUGAACAAACACACAGAGAUUUUUAUUUUAAAAGUAUGUAAUUUGUCACAUAUGGGAAAAUGUCCACAAAAAAAUGACAAACAAGCCACACAGUAGCAUUCUGAAAGCAGAUGUCUAGUUCCAGGUAGCAGAAUGUUAAAGAACCUUAAUGCAGGUUCUAGGAUGUCUUUCUUUUUCCUAAACAAAUAAUUUUCCUUGAUUCUGGUCUCAAUUUCUAGAAAUAGUGAAAUAUUGUAGUUGAAAUUUUCCCAUAUGCUUAGGUUUGGAUGGUGAGAGGAAAAGAAAAACCUUCUGUUCAACAAUUAAGUCCAAACAGUUAAAUUUUGGUAAAGUUAUGAACAAAAGGAAGUAAGGUGUGGCAGUAGAAACUGCAGCUGGUGUGCCCUCUAAAGCAGAGUUAUCCACUGCACAGGAUGGAUAUCUAUAUCUGUGGUAUGGUCUGCAGAAUAGCCUGUCUAAUAGAGAUGUUGGAGGCUGCAGGGGAAGGUGCUGGCUGCUGCUUUAUGAGAAAAAACACAGCCAAGAGUCAGAGUUUGGGUGUGGGCAAUACGAUAUCACAAAAAGUGAAUUAGAUGCUUCCUCUGAGCCUUGGAUGAACUAAUGAAUCUGAGGUGACAUAAGAAGCAGAGCCUUGGCAGAGUGUCCAUAGGCAUCUUGAUGUUCAGCCCUGCCCUAGACAAUGAGUAAACCUUUCUUUGCAAUGAGUAGGAUUUUUGCGUGAGCAUUAGAAUUUCUCCACCUGAGUAAAUUCAGAAAGGUUGAAAGUGUGAACCAACUGGGAGAAGCUACAGUAUUGCCUGUGUUAAGCUAGAUUACCAGGGCAGAAUCCCACAUGAGAGUGUCAAUUUUCUCCUGCUAUACAGUAUGCUGCCCCAAUACUAUGUGCUUCCUUAUAUCUGUCUCUGAAAAGGGUGCUGUUAGAUAACACAAAUCUGCCAAUUUUUUCAUGCUUAGAUCAGUGGUAGACUGAAGACAAGGAUUACUAGAUGAUCUUUGAAGUUCCUUCCAACCCAGGCCAUUCUUUGAUUACGACAUAGACGAAUGUCUCGUCAGGGUCAUGAACAAACCCACAUAUAUUAUUUUUUUUUUUUUAGAGUUCUUGUACUUGCUGUUUUAUCACUCAGUGUAAGCAGCUAGCAGGCUCUUAUUUUGUUUUUGAAAAAUGCAACCUUUUAGAUGAUGCAAACAGUGUUAGGAACUUGACAUAGCUGUGGGAUAAAAUCUUUAAAACAGAAUGUCUAUGCUUUGUGCAAAUGCAAACAAAUUCCCAUAGUUGGGCAGGGACAAAGAACAAAGGAAGUGCUAGUAUGGAAACACUGCUCCAGGACAAUUGCCAGGGAAGCUUACACGGACUGGCUGGAGUCUACGUAGAGCUGAGAGAGGAUAAAACAUGAUGGUACAUGACAGCACGUUGUACAGAAUGUCCAAGAGAAAAACAAAUGAGCAAAGACAAAAGUGAAAAGAGAAGCUGGAAUAAAAGAGAACUGUCGGAGAAAGGAGCAGCAGGCAGCAGCAAGGUGGCAGAGGCACAGCACUUAAUCAAAAAUAAAGAGACGAAAGUGUCCAGGAGGGAAAUAUUUUAGCACUGUAGCAGAAUAAGCUUGCAGCCAAACUCUGUUUACUUCCUUGGCCAGAAAUAGGCCCUCAUGCUUUACACAACAAACAAAGCUCUGGUAGCACCUCUUAUGUCAGCUCACCCAGCUUUCUCCAUGUAACCAUCCCUUUUUUAUGUACCACGGGAUAAAAUUCCAGGCCGGGGAUGUAACUUGAGACAUUUCUUGGUACUCUUCAAAAGUUUAACCUCCACUUUUUUUCUUUUUUUUCCUGUAGUGGCAGAGAGAUUGCUCAUGUCACCAGUCAGAGCUCAGGCUCACAGUCCUGAGCUGAAGCUGUAGGUUAAAUCCACAUCAAGUGUUCAUACUGUCAUAACAGCACUGGUGGGCAUUAAAAGUUGUUUACUUCUUUCUUUCUAAGAAAGUUUUGGUGAGUAAGGUCUAGAAACAAGAAUGAGAUGUAGGGGUGAGGGAGGAGAUGUAGCAGGGGAUGGUCAGAAGAAACAACUUAUUUCAUACAGAUGUGCUGUGCACAUCAUGACUCAUCAGGAAGUGAAUCUGCAUCGGAAACUGAAGAGCAAAGGAAAAGUCAUGGCAGGUUUUCAUUUGGAUUCACAGUGACUUUUCUUAGUCUUUUUGGUCUUGGCUUCCUGCAGUGAUGGGACUGGUCAAGGCAUUUUUAAUUAAGUAACCGUUCCAGCUAAAGCUGUUAGUAAUAAGCAAGCUGUCUGGCUUACGUGAGUGGGGAUCAGUCAGACGGUUCACCAGUUCAGAUGUGCUCAGCUCCGGAUGGUAGCAGUUGUUCCAAUCAGAUGUUGCAGUGGUGGCGUCUACAAGCUUGGAAAUCUUGGCGUAGUUUUCCUUGGCCAUGGGUCCAUGCCAUAAGAAAGAAGGACAAGUCCUCAUUAAGGAUUUUCCUUGGAAGUCUCUGCAGAGACCAGGAAAGCAUAGAUAUAAAGGAGAAAACUUAGGUACUUCAGCAGGGAAUUGGGGUUACUUCAGGCACUCCUAUAGAUAUUCCAAAUAGGGCUGUCUCUAUCCUUCUUUGAAUCAUGAGUGUCAAAGUCCAGGUGACAUGCUCUGGUUGCUUGUUUAAAGGGACAAGGCUGCACAUGAGUAGUCUGUUAGUGCUUCUCAGCACAGCAACUAGUCCACUGUGUAACUGGAUACAUGACUACAUCCCUAGUCCUGCUGGUAACAAUCUUUCUGAUACAAGUCAGGAUGUCAUUAUUUCUGAUAGAAGCCAGGAUGCCAAUGGCCUUCUUGGCUACCUUGGCACACUGCUUGCUCAUGUUCAGACAAAUGCUGACCAAUACCCCCAGGUCCAUUUCCUCCACAGUCUUCCAGACACUCUGCCCGAAACCUGUAGCACUGCCUAGGGUUGUUGUGACCAAAGUGCAGGACUUGUCACUUGGUCUUCUUGAACUUCAUCCCAUUGGCCUCAACCGAGUGAUCCAUCCUGUCCAGAUCCCUCUGAAGGGCCUUUUUACCCUCAGGAAGAUUAAGGCUUUCUCCCAACUUGAUGUCAUCUGUAAACUUACUGAAGGUGCCCCUUGUCCAGGUGAUUAAUGAAAAUAGUAAAUAGGACAGGCCCCAGUACCAACCCCUGGGCAACACCACUCAUGACCGGUUGCCAGCUAGAUUUAACCCCACUUACCACCACGCUCUGGGCUUGUCCUUCAGCCAGUUUUUUGCCCAGAAAGUAAAGAAUGUACCUGUCAAAGCCAUGGACUGCCAGCUUCUCCAGGAGAAUACUGUGGGAGACAGUGUCAAAGCCUUUGUUGAAGUCCAGGUAAACUAUGUCAACGGUACCCACAUCCUAAAUCAUUCUGGUCUAGUUCUCUCUCCCUCACACAAUAAACAGAUUGAUAGAUCGAGAUUUAAUUAAAAAUGAUCAGCUACUGCAAGGACAAGCUUUUUUUUUUCCCACUUUUUUUUCCCCUAGGCACUCAGUUUACAUGUUUACUGUGCUAAAAACAGUUACGAGCAAUCUGGAUAGCCCUCUGUUAGCUGUGAUGAAAACAUUCUUCAGCAUCUCUGAUGGUGCCUGCCACUGACGAGCCUGAGAAACACUGUAGUUAAAUGGAGAAUGCGCCUGGCUUUCUAAAAAUUGUAUGGUGAAGACCUGAUGCUGUCUUGCUCCUGGGGUCAGUGCUGGUGGAUCACCCCUGGCAGGGACUCUGGCUGGCAUUUGUGUCCCUUUGGGGAUUCCCAUGGACACCACCACAGUGUGUCCAAUUUCGCACGGCCACACCACAUGCCUCUCAAAGAUCUGGUGAGAGACACAGAUGUGGCUGGCCCAAAGCUUCCCACUGGGGCUUGAUGCCCCUGCAGGGCGACUGCCACAUGCAGCAGGGGGAAUGGCAUACAUAAAGCUUUACAACGCCUGGCCUUCAGUGAGCCUGGGCAAACAAAAACAAGCCUGCAUCCAGCACAGUGCUGCAGCCACAGCUAGUUCCCCUCAGAUCAUGCCACCCUUCAGGACACAUCAAUGCCCCUUACUCCAGCAGCAGCAGCUAUGAAAGCCCUCUUCCUGGCUCUCCGCUGCCCAUUCCCUGCUGCUGCUCCCUCUCUGCCAUUCACUGCCCUCCCUCUCUUGCCGGCCAGGAGCCACAGGUCAGCCUACAAAAAUCCUCAGAGGCCAAAGGGGGCUGCUCCAGUAGGGCUGACAACAGAGAGGAUGUCGAUCUCUCCUAUCCAGUAAGAAAGCAGCCAUGCAUCCCCCGCUUGCUGCUCUGCAAGUCCUGGUUUGUUCUUUUAGUGGUGUAAAAACUGUCCUUCCUUUCCAUCUCACACACAGUAUGAACAUAGACACGAACAGAAACCUUUAGUUAAUCUCAUUGUUUGGACCCUUUUUUUCUUUCAGGUGUUAGUGAGCUGUAGCGAAUCAGAAGAUCCCCAAAGCAAAGCUGCCUCAUUACCAAUUUUGAAAAUGCCCCUGUCCAUCAUUAUCAAAUAUCCUAAAUACCCGUGUUCAGCAACAUUCGGCCAGUACUUAGAUUAUGAGUCACCGGGUAAUUUAGCCCUGCAAGGGAGAUUGUAAGUCUUUCCCCCCCGCCCUGUUCCAGAGAGGAGAUGCCAGUGGGGGACCUUCAUUAAUAUUCACUGUAAUGUACAUCUGUUUG
rnacentral:lncRNA from 1 species